UAAUCGACUUAAAUAUCUAGAAACUGAGCUUGCCUCAACCUGGACUUGAGUUGCUGAUAUAGAUAAGUUUGUUUUGGGAUCAACGAUUGGGCUCUGUUGAACUCUGGUAUAUAUAUAUAUAUAUAUAUAUUUUUUUUUUUUUUCAUUUUUUAUUUGUAUAAAUAUUAAAAAUUCUAAACUUAAUUAAUUAUCAAAUUUGCCACAGACAAAAAAACCAGAAAAAAUAGAAAAGGUAUGUUCAUGAGCUGACCAGGCCAUAAUAGACGUAUUUCUCGUCAGGCCUGAGUUUAUUGGAUCCCAAGACAUUCGAAUUUAACUGUUUAAAAAAUAAUAAUGGCAAACAAAGGCUUUUUGGCUAUAUAUUUAGGGUUGCUUCGUGAAUCUUUUUCUGCCUCUCCAGUCGGUUCCCAUUCCAAUAAACGUGACUGUCUAGUCUGUUUUCUUAAAUAAACUUUAGCAAGUAUUUGGGGGGGGGGGAGGGGGAAGAAAAAGGAGGGUUUUUUUUUUUUUUUUUUUUUUUUUUUUUUUUUUUUUUUUUU
rnacentral:lncRNA from 1 species